rnacentral:rRNA from 1 species
ACGUAAGGGGCGAGCGUUGUUCGGAAUUAUUGGGCGUAAAGGGCGCGUAGGCGGUUUGGUAAGUCUGGUGUUUAAGACUUCAGCUUAACUGGAGAAGAGCACUGGAAACUGUCGGACUUGAGUUCAGGAGGGGGUACUGGAAUUCCAGGUGUAGGGGUGAAAUCUGUAGAUAUCUGGAAGAACACCGGUGGCGAAGGCGAGUACCUGGCCAUGGACUGACGCUGAGGCGCGAAAGCGUGGGGAGCAAACAG